UCUAUGACCCACAUGGAACACAAAUAGUGGGUAAUAAUCCGUGGGAUUAAUUAGGCUUGGCAUCUUCUCAGUAACAUCUCUCAUCUGGACUCCCAGAACACACCUCCCUUGAAACACACAUCCUUAAAUGAUGACUGCCUCUGUACCUCUUAAAAUAGAAUAACUCCCUGGAAGGUGAUAAAGAUACCUUGGAUUUCCACACAUAUGAAUCUGAAGACUAUUAGAUUAUUUCCUUCCUCUGCUGUAUUUAAACUGGAUGAAGAAGAGUAAAUCGUUUGGUGUCAUGUCAAAUUGGCAAAGGACAUCUGGAGCAACACUACUUCAAGAUAUGAGAGCGAGGGAUAAAGUGUCUGGGUGUUUUCUGGAAGAUAUGUUUGUUCAUAUUAUAAACAAAUAGAGACUUUAUUAAGCUUUUUGUAACUGCUAAAUAUUUUAAAGAUAUAGAGGCCAAAUUGACUUUCAGUGUUUUUCUAUAAUGAAACAUCAGCCAUAA